rnacentral:rRNA from 1 species
UUGGAGGGCAAGUCUGGUGCCAGCAGCCGCGGUAAUUCCAGCUCCAAUAGCGUAUAUUAAAGUUGUUGCAGUUAAGAAGCUCGUAGUUGAACUUCGGGGUUCACCCAUUGGUCAGGCUUAAUUGUCUGUACUGGUGAGAUGAGUCUCUACCUUCUGAGGAACUUUCAUGCCAUUUAUUUGGUGUGAUUGGAAAUCAGGACUGUUACUUUGAAAAAAUUAGAGUGUUUAAAGCAGGCUAACGUCUGAAUACAUUAGCAUGGAAUAAUGAAAUAGGACGGAUUGAUCCUAUUUCGUUGGUUUCUAGGAUCACCGUAAUGAUUAAUAGGGAUAGUUGGGGGCAUUAGUAUUCAAUUGUCAGAGGUGAAAUUCUUGGAUUUAUUGAAGACUAACUACUGCGAAAGCAGUUGCCAAGGAUGUUUUCAUUAAUCAAGAACGAAAGUUAGGGGAUCGAAGACGAUCAGAUACCGUCGUAGUCUUAACCAUAAACUAUGCCGACUAGGGAUCGGACGCAGUUAAUUUUAUAAUGACGUGUUCGGCACCCUAUGGGAAACCAAAG